CUGACCGAUAGUGAACCAGUACCGUGAGGGAAAGGCGAAAAGAACCCCGGCGAGGGGAGUGAAAAAGAACCUGAAACCGUGUACGUACAAGCAGUGGGAGCCCCACCACUAAGCCAGUGGUGAACUCCACAUACGCAUCCUUUGCUGAGGAUACGGUUAACGGAGCGAAAGCGACGUUCAACCGCAAAAGAAGCAGAGGGGGCUUAGUGGUGGGGUGACUGCGUACCUUUUGUAUAAUGGGUCAGCGACUUAUAUUCUGUAGCAAGGUUAACCGAAUAGGGGAGCCGGAGGGAAACCGAGUCUUAAUUGGGCGUUAAGUUGCAGGGUAUAGACCCGAAACCCGGUGAUCUAGCCAUGGGCAGGUUGAAGGUUGGGUAACACUAACUGGAGGACCGAACCGACUAAUGUUGAAAAAUUAGCGGAUGACCUGUGGCUGGGGGUGAAAGGCCAAUCAAACCGGGAGAUAGCUGGUUCUCCCCGAAAGCUAUUUAGGUAGCGCCUCGUGAAUUCAUCUCCGGGGGUAGAGCACUGUUUCGGCUAGGGGGCCAUCCCGGCUUACCAACCCGAUGCAAACUGCGAAUACCGGAGAAUGUUAUCACGGGAGACACACGGCGGGUGCUAACGUCCGUCGUGAAGAGGGAAACAACCCAGACCGCCAGCUAAGGUCCCAAAGUCAUGGUUAAGUGGGAAACGAUGUGGGAAGGCCCAGACAGCCAGGAUGUUGGCUUAGAAGCAGCCAUCAUUUAAAGAAAGCGUAAUAGCUCACUGGUCGAGUCGGCCUGCGCGGAAGAUGUAACGGGGCUAAACCAUGCACCGAAGCUGCGGCAGCGACGCUGAUGCGUUGUUGGGUAGGGGAGCGUUCUGUAAGCCUGUGAAGGUGGCCUGUGAGGGUUGCUGGAGGUAUCAGAAGUGCGAAUGCUGACAUAAGUAACGAUAAAGCGGGUGAAAAGCCCGCUCGCCGGAAGACCAAGGGUUCCUGUCCAACGUUAAUCGGGGCAGGGUGAGUCGACCCCUAAGGCGAGGCCGAAAGGCGUAGUCGAUGGGAAACGGGUUAAUAUUCCCGUACUUGGUGUUACUGCGAAGGGGGGACGGAGAAGGCUAUGUUGGCCGGGCGACGGUUGUCCCGGUUUAAGCGUGUAGGUGUGUGUUCCAGGUAAAUCCGGUUCACUUUAACACUGAGGCGUGAUGACGAGGCACUACGGUGCUGAAGCAACAAAUGCCCUGCUUCCAGGAAAAGCCUCUAAGCAUCAGGUAACAUCAAAUCGUACCCCAAACCGACACAGGUGGUCAGGUAGAGAAUACCAAGGCGCUUGAGAGAACUCGGGUGAAGGAACUAGGCAAAAUGGUGCCGUAACUUCGGGAGAAGGCACGCUGACACGUAGGUGAAGUGAUUUACUCAUGGAGCUGAAGUCAGUCGAAGAUACCAGCUGGCUGCAACUGUUUAUUAAAAACACAGCACUGUGCAAACACGAAAGUGGACGUAUACGGUGUGACGCCUGCCCGGUGCCGGAAGGUUAAUUGAUGGGGUCAGCGCAAGCGAAGCUCCUGAUCGAAGCCCCGGUAAACGGCGGCCGUAACUAUAACGGUCCUAAGGUAGCGAAAUUCCUUGUCGGGUAAGUUCCGACCUGCACGAAUGGCGUAAUGAUGGCCAGGCUGUCUCCACCCGAGACUCAGUGAAAUUGAACUCGCUGUGAAGAUGCAGUGUACCCGCGGCAAGACGGAAAGACCCCGUGAACCUUUACUAUAGCUUGACACUGAACAUUGAGCCUUGAUGUGUAGGAUAGGUGGGAGGCUUUGAAGUGUGGACGCCAGUCUGCAUGGAGCCGGCCUUGAAAUACCACCCUUUAAUGUUUGAUGUUCUAACGUGGACCCGUGAUCCGGGUUGCGGACAGUGUCUGGUGGGUAGUUUGACUGGGGCGGUCUCCUCCUAAAGAGUAACGGAGGAGCACGAAGGUUGGCUAAUCCUGGUCGGACAUCAGGAGGUUAGUGCAAUGGCAUAAGCCAGCUUGACUGCGAGCGUGACGGCGCGAGCAGGUGCGAAAGCAGGUCAUAGUGAUCCGGUGGUUCUGAAUGGAAGGGCCAUCGCUCAACGGAUAAAAGGUACUCCGGGGAUAACAGGCUGAUACCGCCCAAGAGUUCAUAUCGACGGCGGUGUUUGGCACCUCGAUGUCGGCUCAUCACAUCCUGGGGCUGAAGUAGGUCCCAAGGGUAUGGCUGUUCGCCAUUUAAAGUGGUACGCGAGCUGGGUUUAGAACGUCGUGAGACAGUUCGGUCCCUAUCUGCCGUGGGCGCUGGAGAACUGAGGGGGGCUGCUCCUAGUACGAGAGGACCGGAGUGGACGCAUCACUGGUGUUCGGGUUGUCAUGCCAAUGGCACUGCCCGGUAGCUAAAUGCGGAAGAGAUAAGUGCUGAAAGCAUCUAAGCACGAAACUUGCCCCGAGAUGAGUUCUCCCUGAGACUUAGAGUCUCCUGAAGGAACGUUGAAGACGACGACGUUGAUAGGCCGGGUGUGUAAGCGCAGCGAUGCGUUGAGCUAACCGGUACUAAUGAACCGUGAGGCUUAACCUUACAACGCCGAAG
rnacentral:rRNA from 1 species